CCCGCACAAGCGGUGGAGCAUGUGGUUUAAUUCGACGCAACGCGCAGAACCUUACCAGCCCUUGACAUCCCGGUCGCGGACUCCAGAGAUGGAGUUCUUCAGUUCGGCUGGACCGGAGACAGGUGCUGCAUGGCUGUCGUCAGCUCGUGUCGUGAGAUGUUGGGUUAAGUCCCGCAACGAGCGCAACCCCCGUCCUUAGUUGCUACCAUUUAGUUGAGCACUCUAGGGAGACUGCCGGUGAUAAGCCGCGAGGAAGGUGGGGAUGACGUCAAGUCCUCAUGGCCCUUACGGGCUGGGCUACACACGUGCUACAAUGGCGGUGACAAUGGGACGCUAAGGGGCAACCCUUCGCAAAUCUCAAAAAGCCGUCUCAGUUCGGAUUGGGCUCUGCAACUCGAGCCCAUGAAGUUGGAAUCGCUAGUAAUCGUGGAUCAGCACGCCACGGUGAAUACGUUCCCGGGCCUU
rnacentral:rRNA from 1 species